rnacentral:rRNA from 1 species
AUUGAACGCUGGCGGCAGGCCUAACACAUGCAAGUCGAGCGGAUGAAGAGAGCUUGCUCUCUGAUUUAGCGGCGGACGGGUGAGUAAUGCCUAGGAAUCUGCCUGGUAGUGGGGGAUAACGUCCGGAAACGGGCGCUAAUACCGCAUACGUCCUACGGGAGAAAGCAGGGGACCUUCGGGCCUUGCGCUAUCAGAUGAGCCUAGGUCGGAUUAGCUAGUUGGUGAGGUAAUGGCUCACCAAGGCUACGAUCCGUAACUGGUCUGAGAGGAUGAUCAGUCACCCUGGAACUGAGACACGGUCCAGACGCCUACGGGAGGCAGCAGUGGGGAAUAUUGGACAAUGGGCGAAAGCCUGAUCCAGCCACGCCGCGUGUGUGAAGAAGGUCUUCGGAUUGUAAAGCACUUUAAGUUGGGAGGAAGGGCAGUAAGUUGAUACCUUGCUGUUUUGACGUUACCGACGGAAUAAGCACCGGCUAACUUCGUGCCAGCCGCCGCGGUAACAC